GGGUGUUAGCUCAGUUGGUUAGAGCGCCGGCCUGUCACGCCGGAGGUCGCGAGUUCGAGUCUCGUACAU
rnacentral:tRNA from 1 species